UAGACAUCAGGUCGUCAGGUCUGGAGGGUUAGGUAGGGAAAGCAUCAGGUCUGAAGUGUCCUUCCAAGCAGUGGAGAGGGAAGACUGGAGGCAGGUCAGUGGCGACAGGGACAGAGAGGGGCAACUGGCUGGCUCAGCCAACUCUGAUUUUUGCUGAUUUUUUCACUGAAAGAUGAUGCCCAUGUCCUCUUGCUCACCAGUAUCUAUCAGCAAUAUCUACGAUAGCGGUCCACAUCUUGACCAACACUUGACAUUACCAAUUGUUUUACUGUAACCAUUCUGGAUGAAACAGUCAUAAGGAGAGAUGGUUCUUCCUGAAGCCAUUGUGAUUCAGAAGAAGCCAAGUUCUGUGGAGGGACAGUGGAAACUAUGCUCCACAUGGUUCUUCCUGAAGCCAUUGUGAUUGGGAAGAAGCCAAGUUCUGUGGAGGGACAGUGGAAACUAUGCUCCACACCCAUCCUACCCCAAAGUCAUUCUCCCCAGAGCUCUCCAGGUGGCCCCUCACCUGCUCACAGCCUUGCACUCGAAGUGGCCUAUUAUCGUUCACGGUUAGCCUCCUAAAACAUGUCAGUGACAUUUGCCAAUUAUAUCUUUCUCAAUUCUAAAUUAUACUGCUCAAUAUUUGAUCCCCUCAUGGUCAGGUGUUCUAUGUUUUCUUACACAGCAAUAAGGUCAACUCAUAAAUGAAUUCAUGCUGAUGUUCUAAUGGGAAGAGCCUGAAGGAAUCCCUGAGCACACUCUCUUUCUUUCCACAUAGCAAAUAUACGGCUGAAUAAUAGGCAGUGGGAGACCAUAUUCCCAUUUUUACAGUGUUGGAGAAUGAUUUCCAAAUCUUAGUAACUAUGGCGAAGCUUUAAUCCAACCUACAAAAGAAGAGGGAAAUAAUGACCAUUGUAACGAGUUUCAUGAGACUAAAUUUAAUCACUUUAAGGGACUGCGU